rnacentral:lncRNA from 1 species
AAUGGUCGAAAAAGCAUUUUAACAUGGUGUCAGAUUAAAAAAACAAAGGUCACUCCUCCAGUAAGAGACUGAGGAGAAUCAAAUAAUUGAACAUGUAUCAUCUGUCUUGUAGAUAAAAAAGACAAAAAGGCAGAAGAAAAAGAAGAUGAGCAGAAUGAGGAGGAGGAGGAGGAUGGAGAGAAAGAGGAGGAAGAAAAAGGAACUGCGACCAGAGCAACCACACGGUCGGCAUCUCGUCUGGAGGCUGAAAGAAACAAGCCAAGUAAACCAUCCACCCGGGCAAGUCGACAGAGCGGUAAAGAGGAGACCGCAGCUGGCACGCGCGGGACGAGGGGCCAGGCUGCAGCGGCGAAGGGGGGCCGUAAACGGGAGGCCAGCCCUCCUGCGGUUCGAACGCGGGGAGGACAGAAAUCAGAGGAGCCCCCUUCCAAGAGAGCCAAACGCUAAAACCUCUGACAGCGGUGGCCCCGUUUGCCCCGUUUGCCCCAGCAGAGCUUGUCCUGCACUCUAUAUUCAAGUCGGUUUUGUUGUCGGGGGUCUGUAGCACGUAAAGCUGUUUCUGCUUCAUUGACUGUAGAGAUUGAAAAGCUCUGGAUAGUAUUAGACCCUCUCCUCUGAUGGUUGAGUGUAAACCUGAGGAUCUGUGCAGGAAUCCCCCAGAAUACCUUCUACCGCGCUCUGCCCAUAUGGUUUAGAUCAGACGUCAUCAUUACUCCGUUUAUUCAGUAAUGCCCAGUGAACCAGAGCAUUUCAGAGGCUUAAUGUGCAGCUGAGUUGUGCUUUGAGAUAAAGAGGCUGAAUAGAAAUUAGCCGUCAGUCCAUCAUAGUCCAGAUGUGUUUCACUCUCAGACGCCACUGUUACAUUCAAAUUAUCUGUGUAAUUUUAAACACGUGUAUGUAGGAAUCACUGUGAAGCGUUUGCAGUGUUCUUUGUGAAUUUUAUUACUGAAUAUUCAUUCUGUGAAUGAAAUAAAAUACUUUUUUUUUUUUUUAGUUUUUAUACUUUAUACUGUUAAGAUAAGGGAUGUUUGCUUUUUGUAACUCUCCACUGAAAUAACAUCAGCAUUAGUCACUGACAGAAAACAUGACCGAACACAAACAUGUUUGUAUAAACUGAAUGUUCUUCAUGAUGUAUUUUCAACGACAGCCGCUGCAGACAAAGUACUUUUUUGUCAAGGAGGUAAUCCAGUUAUUUGUAUAGUUUUAGAGUCAGCUGUGUAUCACAUAAUUCUGGUGUUGGAAACCUGUCAAAUGCAUUUGUUUCAUAAAUAUAAAAGAACUGAAACUUUCUAUUUUUUACUGGUUCUAGAAAAUAUAAUUGAAUUUAGCUUCUUACUUUAGGUUCAAGGUAUAUUUUUGCAUUCAUUUAGCAUUUAUUGUGUGAAUGUAAAUGAAGCAUUUCAACAUUUUUAUACUAAAACCUGAAACUUUUGUCCAUCUUUUGAGUGAAAUUGAUUCUUUUUUUGCAAUAGAAGUAAUCACUGCCCUAGAAGCAAAUUAAGCCACUUAGCAAAUUGCUGUUUAUUUUCAUUUUCUCAAACGUAUCUCCCAAAUUUUAGCUUUAUGUUAAAUGAACUCAUUGAACGCUUAGAAUAAAUGUGCACAAUAGUUUUCAAAGAUCUGUUGUUCCAGGAAACCCUUUGUGCAUCUUAAAGAAAAUCCAACCUGCAUCUUUUUCUCAUAACAUAGCACUUUUGAUGGCUAAAAUCUUUGUUUAUGAACAGAUAAAAUAUUACACAGAGCAGAAUAUACUUUACUUUUUUCACCCAUAUUAUGUCUCAAACGUUAUCUUCUCAGUGUCUUAAAUGAAUGUGCUGUCUGUAACGUGUAAAUAGUCAAAGACAUUGACCAACCACUGCACAGUGUGGAAGAAGAGAGGACAUUCCUGCCUGCUAAUGGAGGAUAAAACUGACAAACUCAGAAUGAAAUAUUUCACCAUCAUUAACACGUUAUGAGGCUUUAAUCGCUGCACCUGAACUUACAGGAUCCAGAAAACAUAAAGAGGGGUUACGGAAAGCCCGAGUUCUUUGGCUGAAGUUUUCC